rnacentral:piRNA from 1 species
UGCUGACCUCGCUAUUAAUACUAUUGAUAAGU